CCUUAAACCCUUAAGAGUCAAAUUGAAGAGAAAUUGAAAGAAUACCAGAGGGAGACGGAAGAGUUCAAAAAGAAAAAAUGCCAUAGAGACGAAUUGGAAUACCAGAGGUCUCCAGAGAAAAAAUACAUAACAUAGUGCAGAUUGUAUGUAAAUAUGUAAAAAUUGAUUUAAAACAAAAGCCAAAUGGCAACUCACAAUUUUCUGAGCUAUAAAUCUAGCUCAGAAUUUUGGUGCUUUAGGAUCCGUAUAGGCGACCCUCUCCCUUCUUCUCCUUUCUUUAGUUCAGUCCUAUAUGGAUACAGGAGGGGGUAUAUAGUGUAGUAUAGUUGAUGUUAUUAUGGGUAUGUAAAAGUAAUAAAUGAGGUACUCACAAACCCAGAGCCAGUCUAUAGGCUCACUUCAGUGCGCAUAUGUGGUUUUAGGACCACACUCCUUCUUUAUAUUAGCAGGAAAAAAGCCAUAAGUGUAUCAAAAUGUAUGUAUAUUUAUUAUUAAAAAUUAUUACACAUUAUAAAAAAUUCUAUUAGAAGUAUAUGUAAAAAAUAAAUAAAUAAAACACUUAUAAGGCUUAAUAGAGUCCAGUAAAGUCCAAAAAAAGGGAGUUUUCAGUGCUCACUUUUCUUUCCAGUCGCCUAUACGGAUCCUAAAGCACCAAAAUUCUGAGCUAGAUUUAUAGCUCAGAAAAUUGUGAGUUGCCAUUUGGCUUUUGUUUUAAAUCAAUUUUUACAUAUUUACAUACAAUCUGCACUAUGUUAUGUAUUUUUUCUCUGUUUUACCUUAAGGUUAACAAGAAAUAAUUGACUAACAUAGAAGAAAAUUGGGUAAAACUUCGUUUCAUAUUCAAUUUUGCACAUAAGCGCUACACCGGUACCACUUACUAUUCUCUAUCACUCUGUAAAAGAUUUUCACGGUGGUUAGCAGCUGUUUAGAUUAUAUAUAUUUUUAAGAUUUUAUACUCAAAUAGCGCUUAUACUUCCUUGUUUUGGAAUACCAGAGGGACCAGGUCUAUACCUUGUACUCCAGGACACACAACGGACAAUACCAACCGAAUAGAGACAUACACACACAGAGAGGGCAUUCGGACACCGAAGGAGUUACAUCCUCCUCCUCUGCAUCCUCAUUAUCG